ACGCGUAAUGAACGGAGUUUACGGGGUCCUGAGUAGUUGGUAUUAGAGGAACGGAUAUUUUAUACGGGAAACGGAAGGAAGAAUAACAAUGGGUUGGUACAUCAAACGAAGGACAUGUUUGGGAAACUGUAACGAAAAGGAGCCCAUAAGCACUAACUUCACCAACUGAUGGAGGCCUGGAGAUGAACCCACUGAAGUGUUUGUUUGCUAAAAUUUCACAUUCUUGAAUAAUCUGCCUCGACUCAAAAAAGAAAGGUAUUGAUAAAACCGAUACGGCUUGGAUGCUAACCCAAUCUUGUUGAGCAAGUCCCAAUUUCACACUCUUGCAUAAUCUGCCCCGGCUCAGAAAAGAAAGGUCUUGAGACGAAUACGGCUUCGAAGCUAACCCAAUCUUGUUGAGCUAGUCCCAAUUGGACUGGGCCUAUUAGUUAGAGCGAAGGUCACAGGUUGAAAAUGCGGAAUGGCUACAAUAUUCCCUCCCUGAUUGGAUUACAAAAAAACGCUAUGCCGAAUAAUUUCUUGUUAGUUGGAAAUAUGAAGAAGGAACAUAUUCUCUAGAAUGGAAUCAAUGAGGAUGCCGCCAUCAGGUGAGUUUGGAUGGUGCGCAUGAAGUGCAACUCCACCAGCCCUUUCUCUGAUACCGGCAAAAGCUUCUUGCAGCGUUCUCCCCAAAUCGUGAAGAAGGCUGAUUUAAGGUGCAAUGUUAGCUGAUCCAUUAUGUAUUAUCAUGCUGCACCAAGCGGCCCGAAACAACGUAACAUGCAUGUAAAGCUGGCAAUUAAGUUGGGUGGGCAACGAGGGAUUAGUGAAACUAGUGUGAGCUCCUAUAGUAGGGAUCCUCUGUGAGGCUUUAGUUGUGCUUCGUACAAGUAUGAUGUGGCUAUUUUAUCUGCUCUCCCCAAUCUCGGCUAAAGCAUUUAUGGUAUUUCUCUAUAUUCAAGGUCACAGUGAAUAAUUGCCUUCAUUUAAGGUAAUUAGUGGGUUGCAUGUCUGUAAUUAAUGCGUUCCUUUAACAAUAUUCUUUUUGUGCAUGAUGCAUGCCUAAUGAUGAUCUUUCAGUUUGCAAAAGUAGGCUUAUUAUUUGCUUUAAGACUUUCGUCUUUAUUGUUUUUUGUCUUGUCAUUCUAUUAUCUCAGUUGUCUCGACUUCUUUGUCUGGAAUUUUUCUCUAAUUGAUAGUGCCUACUCUGAUAUGGCCGUCUAUUCCUGAGGCCUGCUCAUCUCUAAUUGCUUGAGCCAGCCUUGUAUUAUAUUUCCUCGGUACUUGUGUAUCAAGUAAUCUGAGUAUGCACCAAAAGAACUUGAAGAAUCCAACCGCUCCUUUUCAUAACUUAGUAUUUAAACUCUAACUUAUCUCUUUCAUAGCAUCUUGAGUUUAAGGGAUUGUGAAAAGAAAAUUUAUAUUGUAUAUCUGGUUAAUAUUGAAGCUGUGUAUUGUAAUUACUAAAUAUGAGAAGAGUAGGUACAAUAUCUUGUAUUUAAUGGUAAGUUUGACUAGAAUUUAGGACUCUGUGAUUUAUUUCUUUAUUUUUUCAUCUGCAAUUUGUCAUAAAAGAUAAGUCUAUAUAUUCCUACAAUCAAUGAAAAUAGGGAGUCUCUUCCGAGAAAUAUGAGGCUCUUCAAACAAGGGAUGUCAUUCAAAUCAAUUUGUUCCUAUCAAGGGUCCUACUCCGAGUAUUGGGCAUAAGGCAUGGCGUUUGGGAAGUAAUUUAUUUUAGAUUAUUUCAAUAUUUUAUUUCAAAUGAUGUUGUUUUGCAGCAUUUUAUUUCUUUAGAACCUGCAAUGGCGUGUGAUUUCAUUCUUGCUCUAUGUUUAUGCCUAUCCCAUCCCAAUCAAACAAUGAAAAAAUUUUACUUGAAGAUGUUUAUAUUCCCUUUUCUAGGUUACCUACCUAGCUAGGAUUAUAGAAAAUUAGUAUUUGAUUCAUUUACUAAUGAUAAUGAAUUAUUAUUUCCCGUCGUAUUUCUUGUUUAAUAUUUAAAUUGAACAAUUAUGGCCGGCUGGCGUCUUCAUGUAUGGUUGACAUGUUCAUAAAUGGUGCAAAGAAUAUGUCCACCGAACGCGUAAGGAACGGAGUUUACGGGGUCCUGAGUUGUUGGUAUUAGAGGAACGAAUAUUUUAUACGGGAAACGGAAGGAAGAUUGACAAUGGGUUGGUACAUCAAACGGAGGACGUGUUUGGGAAACUGUAAGGAAAAGUAGCCCAUAAGCACUAACUUCACCAUCUGAUGGAGGCCUGGAGAUGAACCCACUGAAGUGUUCGUUUGCUAAAACUUCUCAUUCUUGAAUAAAUCUGCUUCGACUCAGAAAAGAAAGGUCUUGAUGAAACCCAUACGGCUUGGACGCUAACCCAAUCUUGUUGAGCAAGUCCCAAUUUCACACUCUUGCAUAAUCUGCUCCGACUCAGAAAAGAAAGGUCUCGAGACUAAUACGGCUUCGACGCCAACCCAAUUUUGUUGGACUGGGCCUAUUCGUUAGAGCGAAGGUCGCAGGUUGAAAAUGCGAAGUGGCUACAAUAUUCCCUCCCUGACUGGAUUACAAAAAAACGGUACCAAUUCGAAUAACUCUUUUUAAGGUAUGCGACGGGCACGCAUAGUAGUAGCGCCCAAAUGCAAAUUUAAUGAAAUAUCGUAUAUCUUUCAGCUAUGGCCGAAUAAUUUCUUGUUAGUUGGAAAUACGAAGAAGGAACAUAUUCUCUAUAAUGGAAUCAUUGAGGAUGCCGCCAUCGGGUGAGUUUGGAUGGUGCGCAGGAAGUGCAACUCCACUAGCCUUUUCUCUGAUACCGGCAAAAGCUUCUUGCAGCGUUCUCCCCAAAUCGUGAAGAAGGCUGAUUUAAGGUGCAAUGUUAGCUGAGCCAUUAUGUAUUAUUGUGCUGCACCAAACGGCCCGAAGCAAAGUAACAUGCAUGUAAAGCUGGCCAAUAAUUUGGGUGGGCAACGAGGGAUUAGUGAAACUAGUGUGAGCUCCUAUAGUAGGGAUCCUCUGUGAGGCUUUAGUUGUGCUUCCUGCAAAUAUGAUGUGGCUAUUUUAUCUGCUCUCCCCAAUCUCGGCUAAAGCAUUUAUGGUAUUUCUCUAUAUUCAAGGUCAAAGUGAAUAAUUGCCUUCAUUUAAGGUAACUAGUGGGUUGCAUGUCUGUAAUUAAUGCGUUCCUUUAACAAUAUUCUUUUUGUGCAUGAUGCAUGCCUAAUGAUGAUCUUUCAGUUUGCAAAAGGAGGCUUAUUAUUUGCUUUAAGACCACCGUCUUUAUUGUUUUUUGUGUUGUGAGUUCAUGCAAACGAGAAGAUAAGUUCGUUGCUUCAUAAUUAUGUACAUAUGACUAUAAUAUUGUUAUUUUGAGUUCUUGAAGUUUAAAUGCGGUUGAAACUCAUAGUAUUAGCUAUGUUUUGUGUUCUAUGUUCACUGGUUUCUGCUACUUGAAUACAAGCAUCACACCUCGAUGCCAGUUGUGAUGUUAUGUUGCCUAUUAAUAGAAUAUAUUUUAAUUCGAUUUUUAUUUAAUGAUGUUUGGGAAUUAUCCCACAUUGAAAGAUGGAUAUUCAACUUUGCUAUAUAAAUAGCUAUAUAAUAUGAUGUGAAGCAUACGUGCGGAAUCAUAGAGGUACCCCUAUAUGUAAUAUGUGCCACGUGAUUUUGUCGCACGUGUACACGUGAUGCUGCGCGAGUGAUGUCUUUAGACACAGGCGGUUUCGUGUAUUAUGCGAGAAUCGGUGCCCUACUUCGACUCGUCGACCCAAUAAUAUCCAUACACAGCAAACUGCAAAGUUUUUAUAGCUCACCAUGAUUCUUCAACCAGGAAGCUUUUAUAGCUCACCAUGAUUGUUCAACCGGGAAGCUAUUGCAGCGUUGCUUGAAAAAUUUUUAUAGCUCACCAUGAUUCUUCAACCGAGAAGCUAUUGCAGGGUUGCUUGCAAAAGAUGAAUGGUAAGGAACGGCUUGGGAAUCGUACAUGAGCUCACCAUGAUUCUUCAACCGCAGCUAUUGCAGGGUUGCAACCGGGAAGCUAUUGCAGGGUUGCUUGAAAAGUUUUCAUAGCUCACCAUGAUUCUUCAACCGGGAAGCUAUUGCAGGGUUGCUUUCAAAGGAUGAAUGGAAAGGAACGGCCUGGGAAUCGUACAUGAAAAGACGGGCUUGGUCCAACCCGUUAAGACUCAAUCUGGCUGGUCCAGGCCAGGGUCGGCCCAUUAAGAAGUCUCCCUUUUUUUUCCUUUUCUGUUAUAUCUCUUGGCAGUAAGUCAAAAAAAAAAGAAGCUAAAAUACCUUUAGAGAG